UAGGGAAUCUUCGGCAAUGGACGGAAAGUACUGACCGAGCAACGCCGCGUGAGUGAAGAAGGUUUUCGGAUCGUAAAACUCUGUUGGUAGAGAAGAACGUUGGUGAGAGUGGAAAGCUCAUCAAGUGACGGUAACUACCCAGAAAGGGACGGCUAACUACGUGCCAG
rnacentral:rRNA from 1 species